rnacentral:rRNA from 1 species
GCUUAGUGGUUGCCUCCCACUACGGUUUGUACUAGGGACUGCUCUGCUUACUUGCAAUGAUGCAUCCUGUUUCAUUUGAGUUGCUCCUCCUGCUGUGGGUUGAAUUGAUGCAUGUGCAAUACUUGCCUGAAAAUCAGAUGAACUUGCUUCCUCCCUAGGAUGACUUGCUAGAAUUUGUGAGGCACUUGGUUCUUGUUUUGAAACAGUCCCUGGUGAAACUGCAACAUUUGUAUCUUUGCCACUGGUGAGAUCUGCAUGUCGUGCUGUUGAGCUUGAUGCUGUAUUGGUUUCAAGCUGGUUCUUGUGAGUGCUAGAACUUGCCUCUUUUGCAUGAUGUAAUGCCUGAUGUUGCAACUGAAAAGGCCCAGAUUUCUUCAUGGCUGACUUUGUUUCCUUUCCACCUUGCAGUUCUUGAACAUUUUGGGCACGCAUAGCUCGCAGUUCCUCCACUGUCUCUGUCAACACCGUUGGCUCUGAUACGAAACUCACACUCUUUUUCUUCUUUGGUGUUGGAAGUGGUGGUACACCAACUUCCUUGGGUUCAUGUGGAGCCCCUAUCUCCCUCAUGAUUUUCUUGCGAAUCCACUUGGGGCAGACAUCCUCAAGAUUGAAUGCCAUCCCCAGUUCCAUUUCUUCUUUUCUCAAUAGCUCUUGGAAAAUUUUGCUCGCUAGCACUGCAAUAGGCUGCUCGUCGAGAUCCAACAUUUCUUUCACUUCAAACAUGCGGAUGCGUAGCAUUUUGCAGUAACUUUCC